AUUGAACGCUGGCGGCAUGCUUUACACAUGCAAGUCGAACGGUAACAGGCCGCAAGGUGCUGACGAGUGGCGAACGGGUGAGUAAUGCAUCGGAACGUGCCCAGUCGGGGGGGAUAACUGCUCGAAAGAGCAGCUAAUACCGCAUACGAUCUAUGGAUGAAAGCGGGGGACCGUAAGGCCUCGCGCGAUUGGAGCGGCCGAUGUCAGAUUAGGUAGUUGGUGGGGUAAAGGCUCACCAAGCCAACGAUCUGUAGCGGGUCUGAGAGGACGACCAGCCACACUGGGACUGCGACACGGCCCAGACUCCUACGGGAGGCAGCAGUGGGGAAUUUUGGACAAUGGGGGCAACCCUGUUCCAGCAAUGCCGCGUGCAGGUAGAAGGCCUUCGGGUUGUAAGCUGCUUUUGUACGGAACGAAACGGUCUGGGUUAAUACCCUGGGCUAAUGACGGUACCGUAAGAAUAAGCACCGGCUAACUACGUGCCAGCCGCCGCAGUAACAC
rnacentral:rRNA from 1 species